rnacentral:tRNA from 1 species
GGGUUGUUAGCUCAGUUGGUAGAGCAGCUGACUCUUAAUCAGCGGGUCGAGGGUUCAAGCCCCCCCACAGCCCA